rnacentral:piRNA from 1 species
ACAACUGACCACUCAGAACCCUGCAGAGUGU